ACGGCUACACCACAUUGAAAACACAUGUUCUCGUUCGAUCACCGAAGUUAAGCAAUACAGGCCUGGUCAAUACUUGAGAUUAAUUAUUCCAGAAUUGGCCAAAUAUCCAUUCUUGAAAUAAUUU